AUGAACGCCCUGCACGUCGCCAGGGCCAACGCCGGCGUCAGCACACAGAUGGUGCGCUUUGCCACCUCCCUCAGCAAGGAGAGCGUCGUCGAUGUCGAGAGCAUCGUCACCCACCCCAAGGAACCCCUCAAGGCCACCACACAGCAGGUCAAGGUGCAGGUUAGGAAGGUCUACUGCAUAAAUAGGGCGAUCCCCACACUUCCGAUCAACCUUGAGGAUGCGGCCUGA
rnacentral:rRNA from 1 species